UCUAUUACUUAACCAGUCAAGCAGUUCGGGAAAAUUAAUUCCGGUAUGGUUUCAGUUUUAUAUUAUGUAGCUGAGUACAUCGAUCCCGAAGUUAGUUUAGCGGCGGGAGAAAUAACGUUUGGCAUGAUUAGCAAGAACUGAAAAUGAAACGGAAGUAGAAAUGAAGAGGUCACAAAGAAAAAUACACCGAAACAUUGAUGCUACAUCGAUGAGCUGUGUUAUGUGCAUUGUAUAAGAAAAAAGAAGCGGACUGGCGGCCGGAGGGGAAUCAAACUUGGACUCCUGUAUAGCUUGUAAGCUGCUCUAAUCCACCCAUGCCGACAUCCCGGUCAGCACAAUCCAAACCACUAAGUGUAUCUGGUCACCAGCAAUUGGACCUGCCUGAGCUUCUUGUAUCUGAUCACCAGCAAUUGAACUUGCCUAUCUGCCAUUUUCAUCUAGUUGGAAAUGAUGUAGUUUACUCAAUGGUGUGUAGACUGUCAACAUGUGAAACCUACAUAGUCUCCUCUGUUAAAGAUCACUAAUGGUGGAUAAACAAUGAGUGAUGCAGACUGUUCACCAAAAGGGAGUUUUGACACCUGUAUGCCUAUAUUUCUACCAAUCACCCUGUUAUCUUUUUUGUCAUGUUCUUUGGACAGGUAAAAUAACAAGGUAAAACAAGUAGAAAGAAAAGGCUGGAGCAAAGAUGAGAAAAGAUAGGUUAACAUAGUUGUCAUUUGAUAAAAUCAAAAGAUGCUAUUCAGUACCCAC